rnacentral:rRNA from 1 species
AUUGAACGCUGGCGGCAGGCCUAACACAUGCAAGUCGAGCGGGGUUUUCGGACCUAGCGGCGGACGGGUGAGUAAUGCGUAGGAAGCUACCCGAUAGAGGGGGAUACCAGUUGGAAACGACUGUUAAUACCGCAUAAUGUCUACGGACCAAAGUGUGGGACCUUCGGGCCACAUGCUAUCGGAUGCGCCUACGUGGGAUUAGCUAGUUGGUGGGGUAAUGGCUAACCAAGGCGACGAUCCCUAGCUGGUUUGAGAGGAUGAUCAGCCACACUGGAACUGAGACACGGUCCAGACUCCUACGGGAGGCAGCAGUGGGGAAUAUUGGACAAUGGGCGCAAGCCUGAUCCAGCCAUGCCGCGUGUGUGAAGAAGGCCUUCGGGUUGUAAAGCACUUUCAGUAGGGAGGAAGGAUGUUGUGUUAAUAGCACAGCAUUUUGACGUUACCUACAGAAGAAGCACCGGCUAACUCUGUGCCAGCCGCCGCGGUAAAAC